rnacentral:rRNA from 1 species
GUGUGUGCAGAAGGUUUUCGGAUCGUAAAACUCUGUUGUUGGAGAAGAAUGUAUCUGAUAGUAACUGAUCAGGUAGUGACGGUAUCCAACCAGAAAGCCACGGCUAACUACGUGCCAGCAGCCGCGGUAAUACGUAGGUGGCAAGCGUUGUCCGGAUUUAUUGGGCGUAAAGCGAGCGCAGGCGGUUUCUUAAGUCUGAUGUGAAAGCCUUCGGCUCAACCGAAGAAGUGCAUCGGAAACUGGGAAACUUGAGUGCAGAAGAGGACAGUGGAACUCCAUGUGUAGCGGUGAAAUGCGUAGAUAUAUGGAAGAACACCAGUGGCGAAGGCGGCUGUCUGGUCUGUAACUGACGCUGAGGCUCGAAAGCAUGGGUAGCAAACAGGAUUAGAUACCCUGGUAGUCCAUGCCGUAAACGAUGAGUGUUAGGUGUUGGAGGGUUUUCGCCCUUCAGUGCCGCAGCUAACGCAUUAAGCACUCCGCCUGGGGAGUACGACCGCAAGGUUGAAACUCAAAGGAAUUGACGGGGGCCCGCACAAGCGGUGGAGCAUGUGGUUUAAUUCGAAGCAACGCGAAGAACCUUACCAGGUCUUGACAUCCUUUGACCACUCUAGAGAUAGAGCUUUCCCUUCGGGGACAAAGUGACAGGUGGUGCAUGGUUGUCGUCAGCUCGUGUCGUGAGAUGUUGGGUUAAGUCCCGCAACGAGCGCAACCCUUAUUACUAGUUGCCAGCAUUUAGUUGGGCACUCUAGUGAGACUGCCGGUGACAAACCGGAGGAAGGUGGGGACGACGUCAAAUCAUCAUGCCCCUUAUGACCUGGGCUACACACGUGCUACAAUGGAUGGUACAACGAGUUGCGAGACCGAAAGGUUUAGCUAAUCUCUUAAAACCAUUCUCAGUUCGGAUUGUAGGCUGCAACUCGCCUACAUGAAGCCGGAAAAAAUAGUAAUCGCGGAUCAGCAUGCCGC